CCGAGUUUACAACUCCCCAAACCCCCUGUGAACAUACCACUUGUUGCCUCGGCGGAUCAGCCCGCUCCCGGUAAAAACGGGACGGCCCGCCAGAGGACCCCUAAACUCUGUUUCUAUAUGUAACUUCUGAGUAAAACCAUAAAUAAAUCA
rnacentral:misc_RNA from 1 species